GACGAACGCUGGCGGCGUGCUUAACACAUGCAAGUCGAACGGAAAGGCCCUGCUUUUGUGGGGUGCUCGAGUGGCGAACGGGUGAGUAACACGUGAGUAACCUGCCCUUGACUUUGGGAUAACUUCAGGAAACUGGGGCUAAUACCGGAUAGGAGCUCCUGCUGCAUGGUGGGGGUUGGAAAGUUUCGGCGGUUGGGGAUGGACUCGCGGCUUAUCAGCUUGUUGGUGGGGUAGUGGCUUACCAAGGCUUUGACGGGUAGCCGGCCUGAGAGGGUGACCGGCCACAUUGGGACUGAGAUACGGCCCAGACUCCUACGGGAGGCAGCAGUGGGGAAUAUUGCACAAUGGGCGGAAGCCUGAUGCAGCAACGCCGCGUGCGGGAUGACGGCCUUCGGGUUGUAAACCGCUUUCGCCUGUGACGAAGCGUGAGUGACGGUAAUGGGUAAAGAAGCACCGGCUAACUACGUGCCAGCAGCCGCGGUGAUACGUAGGGUGCGAGCGUUGUCCGGAUUUAUUGGGCGUAAAGGGCUCGUAGGUGGUUGAUCGCGUCGGAAGUGUAAUCUUGGGGCUUAACCCUGAGCGUGCUUUCGAUACGGGUUGACUUGAGGAAGGUAGGGGAGAAUGGAAUUCCUGGUGGAGCGGUGGAAUGCGCAGAUAUCAGGAGGAACACCAGUGGCGAAGGCGGUUCUCUGGGCCUUUCCUGACGCUGAGGAGCGAAAGCGUGGGGAGCGAACAGGCUUAGAUACCCUGGUAGUCCACGCUGUAAACGGUGGGUACUAGGUGUGGGGUCCAUUCCACGGGUUCCGUGCCGUAGCUAACGCUUUAAGUACCCCGCCUGGGGAGUACGGCCGCAAGGCUAAAACUCAAAGGAAUUGACGGGGCCCCGCACAAGCGGCGGAGCAUGCGGAUUAAUUCGAUGCAACGCGUAGAACCUUACCUGGGUUUGACAUGGAUCGGGAGCGCUCAGAGAUGGGUGUGCCUCUUUUGGGGUCGGUUCACAGGUGGUGCAUGGCUGUCGUCAGCUCGUGUCGUGAGAUGUUGGGUUAAGUCCCGCAACGAGCGCAACCCUUGUUCACUGUUGCCAGCACGUUAUGGUGGGGACUCAGUAGAGACCGCCGGGGUCAACUCGGAGGAAGGUGGGGAUGACGUCAAGUCAUCAUGCCCCUUAUGUCCAGGGCUUCACGCAUGCUACAAUGGCUGGUACAGAGAGUGGCGAGCCUGUGAGGGUGAGCGAAUCUCGGAAAGCCGGUCUCAGUUCGGAUUGGGGUCUGCAACUCGACCUCAUGAAGUCGGAGUCGCUAGUAAUCGCAGAUCAGCAACGCUGCGGUGAAUACGUUCCCGGGGCU
rnacentral:rRNA from 1 species